rnacentral:ncRNA from 1 species
GUAAAAGUCAUGAAAAGACAAGUAGGUAGCGACAUUCUUUCAGUGAGUCGGUGGUAGUGCAAAACCGGCAGACCCUGCGCUAUUGAAUAACACUUUUCCGCAUACUGCCAACCCAAAUGCAUUCGCAAAGUAGGCUUGGACGUCACCGGCACGUUAUCUUACCGGUGGGGCAUGAUGGUGCUCCAUAAAGUGGUCUAGUUUAACUAGACAAUUUGGGUGGUACCGCGGAAAUAAGCCUUUCGUCCCUUAA